CCUACGGGUGGCAGCAGUGGGGACUAUUGGGCAAUGGGCGCAAGCCUGAUCCAGCAACGCCGCGUGAAGGAAGAAGGCCCUCGGGUUGUAAACUUCUUUUGUCAGGGACGAAACAAAUGAAGGUACCUGACGAAUAAGCCACGGCUAACUAAGUGCCAGCAGCCGCGGAAAUACGUAGGUGGAAAGCGUUAUCCGGAUUUACUGGGUUUAAAGGGCGUGUAGGCGGCAGAGCAAGUCAGAUGUGAAAUUCCAGGGCUCAACCCUGGAACUGCAUUUGAAACUGUUUUUCUUGAGUUAUGGAGAGGCAGGCGGAAUUCCGUGUGUAGCGGUGAAAUGCGUAGAUAUACGGAGGAACACCAGUGGCGAAGGCGGCCUGCUGGACAUUAACUGACGCUGAGGCGCGAAAGCGUGGGGAGCAAACAGGAUUAGAUACCCGAGUAGUC
rnacentral:rRNA from 1 species